UCUCCGUUGGUGAACCAGCGGAGGGAUCAUUACAGGACUCUCAAGCCUCCUACAACCCUGGGAACUUAACUAUAAGCACGUUGCUUCGGCGGGUGUCGCGGAGGGGGCUCUCCCUCCACGAGACGCUAAACCCGCCGCCGACCUACUAUACGAUUUCUCUUUGCGUUGUCAUCUCGAGUACAAUCAAACAAGUUAAAACUUUCAACAACAGAUCGCCUGGUUCUGGCAGCGAGGAAACACGCAGGAGAUCCAGAGAGCACACGCCCUCACGCCAGCCAC
rnacentral:misc_RNA from 1 species